rnacentral:rRNA from 1 species
GCAAUACUUAGUGGCAGACGGGUGAGUAACAUGUGGGUAUCUACCCUUUGGCCUGGAAUAACACGAGGAAACUUGUGCUAAUACCGGAUAAGUCUUUACGGAGAAAGCUUUAUGCACCAUUGGAUGAGCCCGCACUUGAUUAGUUUGUUGGUAGGGUAAUGGCCUACCAAGACUAUGAUCAAUAGCUGAUUUGAGAGGAUGAUCAGCCACAUUGGGACUGAGACACGGCCCAAACUCCUACGGGAGGCAGCAGUGGGGAAUCUUGCACAAUGGAGGAAACUCUGAUGCAGCGAUGCCGCGUGAGUGAAGAAGGCCUUUGGGUUGUAAAGCUCUUUCGUCGGGGAAGAAAAUGACUGUACCCGAAUAAGAAGGUCCGGCUAACUUCGUGCCAGCAGCCGCGGUAAUACGAAGGGACCUAGCGUAGUUCGGAAUUACUGGGCUUAAAGAGUUCGUAGGUGGUUGAAAAAGUUGGUGGUGAAAUCCCAGAGCUUAACUCUGGAACUGCCGUCAAAACUUUUCAGCUAGAGUAUGAUAGAGGAAAGCAGAAUUUCUAGUGUAGAGGUGAAAUUCGUAGAUAUUAGAAAGAAUACCAAUUGCGAAGGCAGCUUUCUGGAUCAUUACUGACACUGAGGAACGAAAGCAUGGGUAGCGAAGAGGAUUAGAUACCCUCGUAGUCCAUGCCGUAAACGAUGUGUGUUAGACGUUGGAAAUUUAUUUUCAGUGUCGCAGGGAAACCGAUAAACACACCGCCUGGGGAGUACGACCGCAAGGUUAAAACUCAAAUGAAUUGACGGGGACCCCCACAA